GUGUCAGCCGCCGCGGUAAUACAGAGGGUGCAAGCGUUGUUCGGAAUUAUUGGGCGUAAAGCGCGUGUAGGCGGCUCAGCAAGUCAGGUGUGAAAGCCCUCGGCUUAACCGAGGAAGUGCGCCUGAAACUACUGAGCUUGAGUGCCGGAGAGGGUGGCGGAAUUCCCGGUGUAGAGGUGAAAUUCGUAGAUAUCGGGAGGAACACCAGCGGCGAAGGCGGCCACCUGGACGGUAACUGACGCUGAGACGCGAAAGCGUGGGGAGCAAACAGGAUUAGAAACCCCCGUAGUCC
rnacentral:rRNA from 1 species